rfam:Mustela putorius furo unplaced genomic scaffold scaffold00082, whole genome shotgun sequence.
GCCUGGGUGGCUCAGUUGGUUGAGCAGCUGCCUUCGGCUCAGGUCAUGAUCCCGGCGUCGUGGGAUCGAGUCCCACAUCGGGCU